rnacentral:rRNA from 1 species
CGCCUGGGGAGUGCGGCCGCAAGGCUAAAACUCAAAGGAAUUGACGGGGGCCCGCACAAGCGGCGGAGCAUGCGGAUUAAUUCGAUGCAACGCGAAGAACCUUACCAAGGCUUGACAUACACCGGACCGGGCCAGAGAUGGUCUUUCCCCCUUGUGGGGCUGGUGUACAGGUGGUGCAUGGUUGUCGUCAGCUCGUGUCGUGAGAUGUUGGGUUAAGUCCCGCAACGAGCGCAACCCUCGUUCUAUGUUGCCAGCACGUGAUGGUGGGGACUCAUAGGAGACUGCCGGGGUCAACUCGGAGGAAGGUGGGGAUGACGUCAAAUCAUCAUGCCCCUUAUGUCUUGGGCUUCACGCAUGCUACAAUGGCCAGUACAAUGGGUUGCGAUGCCGCGAGGUGGAGCUAAUCCCAAAAAGCUGGUCUCAGUUCGGAUCGUGGUCUGCAACUCGACCACGUGAAGUCGGAGUCGCUAGUAAUCGCAGAUCAGCAACGCUGCGGUGAAUACGUUCCCAGGCCUUGUACACACCGCCCGUCAAGUCACGAAAGUUGGUAACACCCGAAGCCGGUGGCCUAACCCUUGUGGGGGGAGCCGUCGAAGGUGGGACUGGCGAUUGGGACUAAGUCGUAACAAGGUAACCGUA